rnacentral:rRNA from 1 species
GAUGAACGCUGGCGGCGUGCUUAAUACAUGCAAGUCGAGCGGAAAGAUGAGGCGCUUGUUCCUUGCACGUUAGCGGAGGACGGGUGAGUCACAUGAGUAUACCGCACUUAUAUGUGUGGUAAAACUUGGGGACAGGGGCGCUAAUCGGGUAUAAUAUAUUGCAGCGCGGGGUUCGAUAGUGAAUGACGGUUUUGCUGUCUCGACUAGCGGGAUCCGCGCCGCAUUAGCUAGUUGGUAAGGUAACGGCUUACCAAGGCAACGAUGCGUAGCCGACCUGAGAGAGUGAUCGGCCACACUGGAAGGUGGACAGGGACCAGACUCCUACGGUACGCACCAGUAGGCAAUCGUCCGCAAUGGGCGAAAGCUUGACGCAGUAACGCCGCGUCAGUUAUGACAGCGCUCCGAUCGUAAAACCGUGUUAUUAGGUGUGAACCAAUGUGGACUUAGAUAAGCACUUCUUGACGGUACCUGAUCAAAAAGCCACGGCUAACUACGUG